rnacentral:ncRNA from 1 species
UUAUAGUCGCGCGGUCGCUGCAUAUCAGCGAUGGGGUGUGGAAGCCCCGCUG